UACGAAGGGGCUAGCGUUGUUCGGAAUUACUGGGCGUAAAGCGCGCGUAGGCGGUUUUCCAAGUCGGGCGUGAAAGCCCCGGGCUCAACCCGGGAAAUGCGCUCGAAACUUGAAGACUGGAGGCCGGAAGAGGGUAGUGGAAUUCCCAGUGUAGAGGUGAAAUUCGUAGAUAUUGGGAAGAACACCAGUGGCGAAGGCGGCUACCUGGUCCGGAUCGUGACGCUGAGGCGCGAAAGCGUGGGGAGCAAACAGG
rnacentral:rRNA from 1 species